GAUGAAGAACGUAGCGAAAUGCGAUAAGUAAUGCGAAUUGCAGAAUUCAGUGAGUCAUCGAAUAUUUGAACGCACAUUGCGCCCUGUGGUAUUCCGCAGGGCAUGCCUGUUCGAGCGUCAUUUCAACCCUCAAGCACUGCUUGGUGUUGGGCCCUGCCCGCUGCGGCCGGCCCUAAAGACAGUGGCGGUGCCGCCUGGCCCUGAGCGUAGUACAUCUCUCGCUCCAGUGCCCGGUGGUAGCCUGCCAGAACCCCAACUCUCGUGGUUGACCUCGGAUCAGGUAGGGAUACCCGCUGAACUUAAGCAUAUCAAUAAGCGGAGGA
rnacentral:misc_RNA from 1 species